GACGAACGCUGGCGGCGUGCUUAACACAUGUAAGUCGAGCGGAAAGGCCCUUCGGGGUACUCGAGCGGCGAACGGGUGAGUAACACGUGAGUAACCUGCCCCAGACUUUGGGAUAACCCUCGGAAACGGGGGCUAAUACCGGAUACGACACAGCUUCGCAUGGGGUCUGUGUGGAAAGUUUUUCGGUUUGGGAUGGGCUCGCGGCCUAUCAGCUUGUUGGUGGGGUGAUGGCCUACCAAGGCGACGACGGGUAGCCGGCCUGAGAGGGCGACCGGCCACACUGGGACUGAGACACGGCCCAGACUCCUACGGGAGGCAGCAGUGGGGAAUAUUGCACAAUGGGCGGAAGCCUGAUGCAGCGACGCCGCGUGAGGGAUGACGGCCUUCGGGUUGUAAACCUCUUUCAGCAGGGACGAAGCGUAAGUGACGGUACCUGCAGAAGAAGCGCCGGCCAACUACGUG
rnacentral:rRNA from 1 species